rnacentral:lncRNA from 1 species
UGGCUGUCCUUUCUUGGUCUUCUUACUCAGUACUUUAUAAGCUUCCAUUUUCUUUUUCUUGUACAACCUCUGAGCUGCUUCUUUUUGUUGCCUUCUCUUUUCUGCUUCCUCUCUCUUCUUAGCACGCUCAGCCUGUAUUUUCUCAUACUCUUCUUUUGCCUUCUGAUUGGAUGUUUUUUUCUUAAACUUUCCUUCAGUUGUAACUGGUUCUACUGCUUUAUUAAGCCUUUCUUCUGAUAGAACUGAAUGAUUUGGAGAUUUGUG